rnacentral:lncRNA from 1 species
AAAAAAUUUUAGUUCAGAAUAUACAAAGAAAAACAAAAAAAAAUAUAACAAAUAUAGGAAAAAGAUAUAAAAAAUCAAAGAUAAAAAAUAAAAUAAAAGUUAAUAAAAAAUAUAAAUAAAAACAAAAGAAAGUGCACAAAAAAAGUCUAAUAAUUUAAAAAUGCAAAUAAGAAAUGAAAGGAAAUUUGUGAAAAAAUAAGAAAAGCAAGAAAAGAAUAAAA